CCCUUGAGUUUGAUCCUGGCUCAGAACGAACGCUGGCGGCAUGCCUAACACAUGCAAGUCGAACGCCCCGCAAGGGGAGUGGCGGACGGGUGAGUAACGCGUGGGAACCUGCCCAUUAGUACGGAAUAACCGCGGGAAACUGCGGCUAAUACCGUAUACGCCCUUAGGGGGAAAGAUUUAUCGCUAAUGGAUGGGCCCGCGUCGGAUUAGCUAGUUGGUGAGGUAACGGCUCACCAAGGCGACGAUCCGUAGCUGGUCUGAGAGGAUGACCAGCCACACUGGGACUGAGACACGGCCCAGACUCCUACGGGAGGCAGCAGUGGGGAAUAUUGGACAAUGGGGGAAACCCUGAUCCAGCAAUGCCGCGUGAGUGAUGAAGGCCUUAGGGUUGUAAAGCUCUUUCGACGGGGACGAUGAUGACGGUACCCGUAGAAGAAGCCCCGGCUAACUUCGUGCCAGCAGCCGCGGUAAGACGAAGGGGGCUAGCGUUGUUCGGAAUUACUGGGCGUAAAGCGCACGUAGGCGGCUUUGUAAGUUAGAGGUGAAAGCCCGGAGCUCAACUCCGGAAUUGCCUUUAAGACUGCAUCGCUUGAAUCCAGGAGAGGUGAGUGGAA
rnacentral:rRNA from 1 species